ensembl:rRNA 5S_rRNA 5S ribosomal RNA
UACAGCCAUCCACACCACGUGAACACACCCGAUCUUGUCUGAUCUCAGAAGCUAAGCAGGAUCAGUCUGGUUGGUACCCAGAUGGGAAGGAGGCCUGAACAUUGGAUUUAUAGGGUGGGAAUGCUAGGAUGGCACCAC